rnacentral:rRNA from 1 species
ACGAUGAGCACUAGGUGUCGGGGUCGUAAGGCUUCGGUGCCGUAGUUAACGCAUUAAGUGCUCCGCCUGGGGAGUACGCACGCAAGUGUGAAACUCAAAGGAAUUGACGGGGACCCGCACAAGCAGCGGAGCAUGUGGUUUAAUUCGAAGCAACGCGAAGAACCUUACCAGGACUUGACAUCCUUCUGACCGGUCUUUAAUAGGACCUUUCUUUUGACAGAAGAGACAGGUGGUGCAUGGCUGUCGUCAG